AAUUUGAAUUUUAAAAUUUGAAAUUUGAAAUUUGAAAUUUGAAAUUUAAAAUUUAAAAUUUAGAAUUUAAAUUUGAAAUUUAAAAUUUAAAAUUUAAAAUUUAAAAUUUAAAAUUUAAAUUUGAAAUUUAAAAUUUAGAAUUUGAAAUUUAAAAUCUAAAUUUUUAAACUUCAAAUUUAAAAUUUUUUAAAUUUUAAAUUUCAAUUUCUAAAUUUAAAAUUUAAAUUUUAAAUUUUAAAUUUUAAAUUUUGAAUUAUAAAUUUGAAAUUUCAAAUUUAAAUUUAAAUUUGAAAUUUAAAAUUUAGAAUUUGAAAUUUAAAAUCUAAAAUUUAAAAUCCAUUGCCACACACAGUCGGUCCCUGUACCGCAAUACUCCCGAACUGUCCAUAGAAAAGGCCUCAGCCUGUCCCCUCUCAAACUGCUCUUGAAU
rnacentral:lncRNA from 1 species